CAAUAGCGUAUAUUAAAGUUGUUGCAGUUAAAAAGCUCGUAGUUGGAUUUCGGGGUGGCCUGCCUGGUCCACCGCAAGGUGAGUACUGGUCAGCCGCCCUUCCUCUCGAAAGCCCCGACUGCUCUUCAUUGCAGUGGUCGGGUAGUUCGGGACGUUUACUUUGAAAAAAUUAGAGUGUUCAAGGCAGGCUCUCGCCUGAAUACAUUAGCAUGGAAUAAUGGAAGAGGACCUCGGUCCUAUUUUGUUGGUUUCUAGGGCCGAAGUAGUGAUUAAGAGGGACAGUUGGGGGCAUUCGUAUUUAAUUGUCAGAGGUGAAAUUCUUGGAUUUAUGAAAGACGAACUAGUGCGAAAGCAUUUGCCAAGGAUGUUUUCAUUAA
rnacentral:rRNA from 1 species